UUCAAUUCCACCCUACUUUACCAGGAAAAAGACACAUUCACCAGUCACUCUGAGCUUUCUGCCUGGCACUUUCAGGAUAUCUGUGAGAUAUGACCAUCCAAAGUCCAGGCGCCCUGCUGUUUAAUAGAAAGGCUCUUCCUUUGAUUUGUUAUGUCUGAGAAGGUUUAGACUGUGUGAGGUCUUACCAGCUCUGCAGUUACACACUUGGCUUCCAGUGUGGCUGUGGCAACCUUAUAGCUCCGUUUCAGCCUCACUGACCAUCUGGAGAGCUUAUGGAUGAAGCCCAGCGAGUCCUGACCCUCAGGUCUGGCCCUUCUCCCCUCAUUCCUCUUCUUGUGCACAGCCAGUCAGCAUUCUGCCUGCGGAUCUCCUGGCCCAGGUGACUGACUGCACCACUACAUAACGAAGAUUUGCUUCGCCCCCAGUCUCCAGUAACACAUUUCUCACUUUCUUUCCAAUUCUUGCUCCUGGACUCUAAAAGGUCCAUACUGCCAAGUCCAUGCUCCGGGCACAGAGGCUUGAAAGUCCAGCAUUUCUCAUUCUGCAGGCAGUCGACAGUAAUACCCGCAUCUAAAAUUUUUGUGCCUGAAUUUCCAAGAGAAGUUCUCAGAACCGCAGAAGUGUGGGAUGCUCCGCAGCCCAGAGUCCUCCUUACCUCUCCCAGCAGGAAGGACAAGAAAAAUGAUAGAAAUGUCAGCAAUAACCAGUGUUUCUGGUUGGAAGCACACAGAAGAGCAGUCUCACUUGCUAAGAGAGUGAAAGAAAGUCACGAGAGCACCAGGAGGUAGGUGGUCAGACAGCUUCGGCCCCUGGGCAUUGUGCUCACUCCAGAUAGGGCGCCUCACUUCUAGAAGAACAAAUCACAACAAAGCUGCUCCAUAAUCGAUUACCGACCUGUUAACUGAAAGUCAGCAUGCUUUGCUAGAGUGUUUCUCCUCACGCUCAUGUGUCAGUGAAUUGCCAGCCACAGUCACAGGCUUGACUUUAAAACAGAUUCAAAGAAAAUUUCACAUGCUUGCAUAGCAAAGAAAUACACCUACAACGGCUGCUCCCAGAUGGGCCCAUGGCUAUGCAGGGAGGAAUUCCUGUCCUCCUAGAAUGGCUGCUUCCAGAUGGGCCCAGGGCUAUGACCAGGAAUGCCUGUCCUUCCUCCCCUCAUGGCAGAAGGAAGGAAGCAAUCAUGUGAGUGUCCAACUUGCAAGGGAAAGCACAAGAACAGUUUGUGGGUGCGUUUGUAGAGCACAGUGGGUACCCUUCUCUUCUGCUAUGUGCAGUCCCUCAGCAGGCAGCCGGGCAGCUCCCAAGUCUCCUCUCCUUGCUUUAAGCAUUAACCCAUUUCUCAAAGUCUUACGGGAUUUUGUGAAUCUUUGAUUGACUGUUCUGUUACUGAGAACAUUGCCAAGGCAAGAAUCCUUUAGCUUACCCAUGUUGUCAGUAGUCUGCAGGAAGCCUUAAUAGGUAAGAGUGGAUUUGGCUCUGCGUUACCCAGAGUUCUGGUCUUUGCUUGACUCCGAAUGGGUGCUUUCAUUGUCUUCCCAUUCUCGCUACAAACACACUCAUUUGCCUCCCAAUGGUGUUAUUUCUGCUCCCUUGAUUUUGAUUUUGCUCUAAAUGGGUUUCUCUUUGACAGCAAUAGAGUGAAAUGUCUUGAAAGGGAAAUGUCUUUGUGUGAUAGUUUUGAAAUACAGUGCCUGCCAGACUGGAUUGAUUGGAGCGCUGAAUGCAGCAGUGUUGAUAUUAAGUGAAGGAUUAUAUUCCAAAAACCUCUGAAAUCAUACAUGACUCACAGUCUGUAUUUCAGGAUGUCAGGUGGGGGAUCAUGAUAUGAAAAUGAAAUGCUAACCAAAAAUAAAAGUAACCCGGGAGGUGCUGCACACCCAUAAUCCCAGCAGUCGAGAGAUGAAAGCGGGAAGAUCCAGAGUUCUGCUGCAUGUGAGUUAGAGGCCAGUCCAGGGCAAGCGAGGUCGUGCCUCAAGAAGAGCACUCGUGGGCAAGCCAGUGGCUCUCAGGCUUCAUUCCUCAAAGCCCAUUGGGAAUGGCUGUCAUUGUCACUCCAAGCACACUGUGUUCCCAGUAAAGUUUUUCUGAUCUCUUCUUGAUUUGGACUUUGCCUCUGGGAGCAGCGGAGUGCAGUGUCUUAAGCAUCCAGGGGUCAGGUGCCGAGGACCAAUGGUGCCGAGAAGACUUCAGCUUGUUGGUUCUGUUGAUGGAUCUCAGACUUUCUUGUGCCUGGCAACUGCUGGUAAAGGGCACGUUGGAAAACACCCUCUGCUCACAGAGAGAGCAACAGGAGUGUGCAGUGUGGAAAAGAACCAUCCCUUUCCAACUGAGUGCGAGUGUGAGGGUGUGGGCCACGUAAGAUGAGACUGCGAGCUUGUCUUAAAGUGCUUUACCUCAAAAAUCACUCCACAGUUUAUGUGCACAGACUUUCCCAAACACAUCCCAAACGGCAAUUCUGACUGGAUCUGUGCAUGCUUUUCUUCCAUGUCAUCGAAUUCCCUUAUUUAGGUUUUAAAGUCCUCUAAAUGCCCAUUAAGAGCUUGGUUGCUAGUGCUGUUGGGACUUUUUGAAGUUUUUGGCCACCACGAUGUUGUGCUUCCGUGCACCCCGAGUAAUGACCCCAACUGAUCCCAAUCUGAAGGCUCUGACCUGUGGGCCUAAAUCAAUCUCAUCUUAGGUGGGCUCUCCCAGGUGAUUGUCACAGUGCUACAAACCUAGUACGUCCUCUCCUGGUCUCUUCCAGAGGAGGAACUCCUGCUAAAUAAAGUACCAUGAACUGGGGGCCAAAAACCGAUGUCACCAAGAAACUCAUGGCACCAAAUGUACUCUAGCAGCCUCAGGCACUGGGAAACUGUGUGCCCUCCACAGGCCUAAAGUACGUUGCCUAAUUUACUUUACUUUACUUUACUAAAUUUAAUUUACUAAAGACUGGAAUGUUUAUUAAUACAUUAAAUAUUCUCUAAAAUCACUUCAGUAAAGUUUGGAGAGGUGGCUUAGUCAGUAAAUGCUUGCUACGUAUCUAUGAUGGCCUGGGUUAGAUUCCCAGCACUCAAACAGAAGUCAGAUCAAGCACAGGCCUGUAAUUCCAGCACUGAGGAGGCAGAAACAGGUGCAUCCCAGGGACUUGUUAACCAGCCUAGCUAGGGAAAUUGGUAAGCUCCAGAUUCAGUGAGAGACUCUCCAGAAAAAUAAGGUUGACAGCAAUUUAGGAAGCCAUCAAGAGUGGCCUCUGGCCUCUACACAACUGAACGUGUUUGCUUCCCUUCUAGCGUGUAUAUACACAGACACUUAAAUUCAAUAUUGGUACGUAUUCACUGAACAAAGUUGUUUAUACGGAAUGUUUGACUGGGCGGAAGCUUCUCUUUAUCACUGUUACUGCUAGAAUCUUCUUCGGCUGAGUUGGGUUCAGAGGUGUGAAAUUAUGGAAUUGGGCAGCUAAACUUCCAUUUCGUCUCUUUGUGCCUGCUGCUUUCUUUACAUGGUGGCAGAGGAGCCCCUUAGUGGGGAGAAGAAGAGAAAAUACACUUCUACAACCCAGUGAGGACUAAGAAUGAAGUAGCAUUUCUGAUGAAUUUGUCUUGAUCCCAGGAAACAGGAAUGAGAUCUCAACAGCAAAGGGGAAUGUAUCUUAAUUAUCUAUUGACUAAUAAAUCCAAGAUGUAUUAUUUUAAAACAA